GAUGAACGCUGGCGGCGUGCCUAAUACAUGCAAGUCGAGCGAACAGAUGAGAAGCUUGCUUCUCUGAUGUUAGCGGCGGACGGGUGAGUAACACGUGGGUAACCUACCUAUAAGACUGGGAUAACUCCGGGAAACCGGGGCUAAUACCGGAUAAUAUUUUGAACCGCAUGGUUCAAUAGUGAAAGACGGUUUCGGCUGUCAUUUAUAGAUGGACCCGCGCCGUAUUAGCUAGUUGGUAAGGUAACGGCUUACCAAGGCGACGAUACGUAGCCGACCUGAGAGGGUGAGCGGCCACACUGGAACUGAGACACGGUCCAGACUCCUACGGGAGGCAGCAGUAGGGAAUCUUCCGCAAUGGGCGAAAGCCUGACGGAGCAAAGCCGCGUGAGUGAUGAAGGUCUUCGGAUCGUAAAACUCUGUUGUUAGGGAAGAACAAAUUUGUUAGUAACUGAACAGGUCUUGACGGUACCUAACCAGAAAGCCACGGCUAACUACGUGCCAGCCGCCGCCGUAA
rnacentral:rRNA from 1 species